AGCUCCAAUAGCGUAUAUUAAAGUUGUUGCAGUUAAAAAGCUCGUAGUUGGAGUUCAGGGUGAGCUCAAUCGGUCGGCCCAUGGUCAGAACUGGUUGUCUCUCUCUUGUUUGUGAAUCCUUUUCGGAGUUAAUUCUUCGAUAAGGAGUUCACAUCGUUUACCUUGAAAAAUUAGAGUGUUCAAAGCAGGCGUUUGCUUGAAUAUAUUAGCAUGGAAUAAUGGAAUAGGACCCUGGUUCUAUUUUGUUGGUUUUGAGAACCAGAGUAAUGAUUAAUAGGGAUAGUUGGGGGCAUUCAUAUUUCAUUGUCAGAGGUGAAAUUCUUGGAUUUAUGAAAGAUGAACUUCUGCGAAAGCAUUUGCCAAGGAUGUUUUCA
rnacentral:rRNA from 1 species